GCGCGGUGGAACCCGAGCGGGUCUGCGCGGGGAGGGCGCGGCCCCCCUCACGCGGCGCCCUCUGCGUCCCGAGUGUUUUUGGUUUUGCUUUUCCGGUAGCGGGAAUCGAACUCACGACCUCGCGUUUGCCAGGCAGGCGCUGUGCCGCUGAGCUAAAUCCCCAGCACCCCCAAAUGUUGAUUAAACGUUUGUAGGGGGAGAAAAGGUCUAGACGCGUUGUCCCGACGAAAGAGCCCUGAAAGUUUUACAAAAGCUACGCUUUAAUUUGGGAAGGAAGUCUGAAAAAGACCAGUCAGGAUGGUAAAAAUGAAGGCGAAUCACUGUAGAUAUCGGUGUGCGGCAAGAUAACGUGCGUGCCUCGCUCUCGGGGUCCCCACGUCAAGUCCUCGGCCCCGCCCCGACCCACCGGCAGCUGCGUACGUUAAUCGAGAGUCCGCUCUGCGGGGAUCUCAGCUCUUUCCAUGUUCUCUUUUGGCCAAAAAAAUGAAACCUUACUUCGGUUGCUCAGCCAGUGCAUCCAGUGACAGGAGUGGCUCCUGGCCCAUGCAGGACAGUUCUGGGACGCGUGUCCGGAGUAUGUGGGGUACAUCACCAGCGAGGCAGUUUCUAAGAGGAUGACUGCACUAGGAUCUCGCUGUGUAGUCAGGCUGGCCUUGAACUUGC